AUUGAACGCUGGCGGUAGGCCUAACACAUGCAAGUCGAACGCGAAAGUCCUUCGGGAUGAGUAGAGUGGCGGACGGGUGAGUAACGCGUAGGAAUCUAUCCUGUAGUGGGGGAUAACGUUUCGAAAGGAACGCUAAUACCGCAUACGCCCACGGGGAAAGCGGGGAUCUUCGGACCUCGUGCUAUAGGAGGAGCCUGCGUCGGAUUAGCUAGUUGGUGAGGUAAAGGCUCACCAAGGCGACGAUCCGUAGCUGGUCUGAGAGGAUGAUCAGCCACACCGGAACUGAGACACGGUCCGGACUCCUACGGAGGCAGCAGUGGGAAUAUUGCGCAAUGGGCGAAAGCCU
rnacentral:rRNA from 1 species